UGCCUACGGGUGGCAGCAGUGGGGAAUAUUGCGCAAUGGGCGAAAGCCUGACGCAGCAACGCCGCGUGCGGGAUGACGGCCUUCGGGUUGUAAACCGCUUUCAGCAGGGACGAAACUGACGGUACCUGCAGAAGAAGCACCGGCUAACUACGUGCCAGCAGCCGCGGUGAUACGUAGGGUGCGAGCGUUGUCCGGAAUUAUUGGGCGUAAAGAGCUCGUAGGCGGUCUGUCGCGUCGGAAGUGAAAACUCGGGGCUCAACCCCGAGCCUGCUUUCGAUACGGGCAGACUUGAGGAAUGUAGGGGAGAACGGAAUUCCUGGUGGAGCGGUGGAAUGCGCAGAUAUCAGGAGGAACACCAGUGGCGAAGGCGGUUCUCUGGACAUUAACUGACGCUGAGGAGCGAAAGCGUGGGGAGCAAACAGGAUUAGAUACCCUUGUAGUCC
rnacentral:rRNA from 1 species